GGGGUUGUAGCUCAGUGGUUGAGCGCUUGCCUCGAAUGCAAGAGGCACUGGUUUCGAUCCUCGGCACCA
rnacentral:tRNA from 1 species